rnacentral:lncRNA from 1 species
AUUACGAUCAGUAUGAGGGUAAAAUUGAAAAACAUCUCAAGCAUGGUUCGUAAUAUUGGAAUCAUGUACCGUAUUAGUACCUUACCGGUUCGGUAUGGUAUACCUCUGUGCCAAAAUAGCUUUUUUAUCCAUUUUCUCAAUUUUUAUCUCGGUACGCCUCAAUACCAGUCGGUAUGCCUCGAUAUGGAACGGUAUACUUCGGUAGACUUGUACCGACUUGAAUAUAUGUUUCGUACCAGUUUUCUCUCGGUACGGUACGGUAGAGUAUGUCCCGUAUUGGGUAGUACGGGGGCGAUACAGCAGACCUUGAUCUGAAGCUUGCAUCCAAAUUGGAUUUGCUAAUGAGAAGAUGUCAACAAAAAAUAAAGGAUGUCAACAAAAAAUAAAGGCGUGUUGAAAAGAGAAAAGGAAGUGUUUCAGGAAUUUAAUACAAGCCAUAUGUAAUGAAUCAGUAGACAGACUUGCAUUGAUCUAGCAGCUGAUUAAGGCAGAACAAGAAGCGUCAAGAUAACAAAAAGUUAUCUGUAAAUGAGUAUGGGAUACCAAAUAUGGUGUAAAAACAUGUUAAUGGUGACAUGUUGAGGGAAUUUCAAGAAGAAUAUUCGAAAAACUUGAACGUAAAGUGUAAGCUGAACACAGAAACCUAGCAUAGAGGCUAGCACGGAUGACAAGGAGACGGAUGCAAAUUAAUUAAAAAAAAUGUAAUUUCAGUGCAACACUCAUCUAAUAAACAUGACCAGAUAUUUUUUGGGUUUCCACAGUUGUCCAGCAAUAGUGCAUCAUAUUCCUCAAAAAGCACACCACCUUCAUCACUGAAACUAAGGCCAGUGUCAUAAUAUACAACCAUAAAGUUCUGUGGAAUCAUCAAAUUAACACGAAUUUAUAAAAUUGAAUUCAUCAGUUGGUUCUAUCCAAUACAAGGGCAUUUCAGAAUGAUUAAAUUUUUUGGAUGAGAUUGCUGGUUUCUAGAGCAGGCAUGGAGUUAACCUGAUUAUAGAUCCUGAUGGCUACAUAUUACACUGCAGUGUUUCUUUUACAUGUUAUUGUCCAUGUCCUAUGAGAAAUACUUUAUGAAGUUUUUUUUUCAAUUGAAAGAUGUAAAAGCAACCUGCAUUUCUUAAUAUAUUUUCCUUUUCAAAUAGGUCACUGUAGUUAAUUCAA